GACGAACGCUGGCGGCGUGCCUAAUACAUGCAAGUAGAACGCAGUUGCGAACAGUUGAGGAACGCGUAGGUAACUUCCUCAUAGCAGGGGAUAACUGUUGGCAACGAUAGCUAAUACCUCAUACUUUGAGUUGGACCUACGGUUGAUUAGCUAGUUGGUUAGGUAAAGGCUCACGAAGGCGACGAUACAUAGUCGAACUGAGAGGGUGAUCGGCCACAACGGGAACGGGAAACGGCCCAGACUCCCUAGGGAGGCAGCAGUAGGGAAACUUCGGCAAUGGAAGGAAGUCUGACCGAGCAACGCCGCGUGAGUGAAGAAGGUUUUCGGAUCCUAAAGCUCUGUUGUUAGAGAAGCGGUAACUAACCAGAAAGGGACGGCUAACUACGUGCCAACAGCCGCGGUAAUAC
rnacentral:rRNA from 1 species